rnacentral:rRNA from 1 species
UACGAAGGGGGCUAGCGUUGCUCGGAAUUACUGGGCGUAAAGCGCACGUAGGCGGUCUUUUAAGUCGGGGGUGAAAUCCUGGAGCUCAACUCCAGAACUGCCUUCGAUACUGGAAGACUUGAGUCCGGGAGAGGUGAGUGGAACUGCGAGUGUAGAGGUGAAAUUCGUAGAUGUUCGCAAGAACACCAGUGGCGAAGGCGGCUCACUGGCCCGGUACUGACGCUGAGGUGCGAAAGCGUGGGGAGCAAACAGG